AAGAGUCACAGAAAGCCAACUCUGGGUGGUUUCAACAGCAGAGUGACAGUUCCCAGGUUUCUGCUUUCACAUCUCAGCCAUGUGUCCUCAGACUUACUCUGACCGCAGGCUGGUGACCCUUCUAUGAGGUCUCAGGAUGGCCACCUGCUAGGUCUGAAUCGAAGGCUUUUCCCUUCAUGUUCGGUAGACACAGAGAAAAUCUGCUUUUCAGAGUGCAAAUAGAGAUCUUUGUUUUGAUUGGCCAGGCAUGGGUCAUGUGUCCACCCAUGAGGUACAUAGUGGCCACAGGAUAGUAAGAUAGUAACUGGCCUAAGCCAAUCAGGGUCCUUCUUGGAAUCGGACUGCAUCUGCUAGACAGGAAUCCUCUUAAAAGGGAGGGGAGGGAGAUGAUGCAGGCAAGGCCAUGCCACGCAACAGUCUGCGGCUUCCAGACACCAGGCAAGGACUCAAGACACGUUCCUGGUUAGUUCUGUCCCCUGGAGCCAACUAGAUUCUGUGCUCUAUGUGACUGACAGGAAGUAGCUGAACACCAGAAAGAAGGGAUUAACCGUCAGGGUUAAUUCCAGCUAUAAGAGCCAGAUGUUCUUCUGCGCCCUCCUCCCCGCAGCCAUCCUCAGUAGGAGCCUAGGUCCUGCCUGGACCACUUAGGUGCAGCUGCCUAUUGAAUGAGCUGAGAAAAACCCCAUCUGAAAAUGGCACAGUGGCCCCUGUCUCAAAAAAUAAAAUACAGCUGACUCUGGUUGUGGCGGUA